UGUACCAUCUCUCCCGAAUCUUGGAGUGUGCUGCGCUGGAUUCUGCUGCCCUGGGUCUUAAAAAGGUUUGAUCUUGCAGGGCCACUGAUCUUGGCAAAGUCUUUGUUCGUGGGGAACCUAGACUAUGACACCAGCCACUCUUAGCUCGACCUCCUCUUCCAGCAUGAUGGCCGGAUCAAUCGCAUCGACAUCAAGUCAGUGCUUGAUGCUGUGGAGGACUAGAUGAUAGGCACCAUGCCUCCGUCUCGCCAUCUACUGAGCUGCUUCUCCCUUUUUGCUGCAAUGGGAGCUCGGCUUCGGAGUCCGACCACGCAGGAGGUGGAGCUGGCCGGCGGCGUUUCAGCGAGUAGGCUGCCCGGCAGCCAGCGGAGGUGCGAGAAGCCUGGUGGGCAGCUAGAAGCUAGCUAGCCGCUGGAUGGAGAUUUUGUAUUCACAUGUGCAAGCCACCCUAAUAAGCUGAGAUUGCCGGGAAAACGGGGAGAACUUGUAUCUAUUUGUGUAAUAUUUGCUAUUUGGAGACUUUCUAUAUCUGCUGUGUUAUUGAUGCAUGCACGUUAUGAAUAUUUGGAUACUUUCUAUA